rnacentral:ncRNA from 1 species
AUAGGGAAUGCUGAAAACCUUUAAGAGUAGGCA